rnacentral:rRNA from 1 species
ACGGAGGCAGCAGUAGGGAAUAUUGCACAAUGGGGGGAACCCUGAUGCAGCAACGCCACGUGUGGGAAGAAGCAUUUCGGUGUGUAAACCACUGUCGUGAGGGAAUAAUGCUUGGCUCCGGCCAAGUUGAAUGUACCUCGAAAGGAAGCACCGGCAAACUUCGUGCCAGCAGCCGCGGUAAUACGAGGGGUGCAAGCGUUGUUCGGAAUCACUGGGCGUAAAGGGAGCGUAGGCGGAGACGCAAGCAGUCUGUACAAUACCGGGGCCCAACCCCGGACCUGCAGACUGGACUGUGUCUCUUGGAUAGUUCAGGGGCAGGCGGAAUUCCUGGUGUAGCGGUGGAAUGCGUAGAGAUCAGGAAGAACACCGAUGGCGAAGGCAGCCUGCUGGGGACUCAUCGACGCUGAGGCUCGAAAGUGCGGGUAGCAAACAGGAUUAGAUACCCUGGUA